ACCGCGCCGCCACCCGCGCUGCCCCUCGCCCCGCCCAUCGCGCCGCCGGCUACCGCGCCCUCCCCCGUGCAGAUCCGGCAUCCUCCCCCCGCAUCGUCGACCUCCGCCGGCACCUGCGCCCUCCGCCGGCAUCUGCAGGGACGUGCAGAGCGUGGCGCAGCAGCAGCGGGGCAAGCGACGCGAGCAGGGGCGCAGCAGCAAGGCGCCAAGGCAGGGAGGCAGCAGGGCAGCGGGGCCGCAGGCUUGGCGUGCAAGCUCGACGCUACCGGAGUCAGUGCUGGGCGCGAGGCCUCUGCCCAUGGUGACCGCCCAGAUCUAGUGGCUUAGCCCCUGGCGGCGUGCGCGACCCCCAGCCCCCCAAAGGCAGCCAGCUGGAGGCCAACAAGAAGGCCAUGAACAUCCAGGCCUCCACCUCUUCCUAAUCUAGAGGUUUCAGUUAUGGUUGUUGAGAAAGCUGCAGAUCAUGCUCUUGUAUGGAUCAAUAGGCUGCUCGCUGUUGGCGAUGGCAUCACAAUUAAGAGAGAUGGGAGAGUUUUUAUACAGGACACCUGCUCAAGCGUGGGUUCUGCUUGCUAUUUCCAUGUGGCCUUGUUGCACAGUUGAUGCUCCUUGGGCUGGAUGUGAUCUGCUGAUACAUUCCUGGCAAGUUCUUCAGGAGAGCUAGUGGCUGGGUGCAAAGGAAUUUAUGAUAUGGAAGGCUUAAGUAGUGCUCUGUACCACAACACAAUGUUGGAGAAAAGAUAGCUACUGAUGCUCAGUGCUCUGGCGUUCUGCGCAAGCUGCUAAACUAAGAUAGGAAUCUGGCCUCCUCUGCUACCUUCCUACAAAUACCUAAGCAAUUCUGUAGAACUUGAGACUGGCAAUUAUGAAGAACUUCAAAUGGUGAGGUCAGGGUAGCAGUAAAAUGGCAUUGCAUUUGACUGACAAAGUGGCAACAUGGUUGUCGUGAAAUUCAGGACUGCUAUAAUUAGGCAUAAAGCCUUUGGUUAAUAUAGAAGCCUGCCAGGCUUAUACAGCUUUGGAGAAAAACAUGAUAUAUUCCUUACUAAGAGUAGUGCUUUUGCUGGUUUGGAAAUGGGAACGGUGGGUGAUUGACUUCAAUCUUAUCCUCUAGAGAUCACCUUCGGAGUCACAAGAAUGAUCUGUCGAUGUUGUAGCUCCUUACUGUUGGUGGCACAAAAAUACAGAGUGCCCAAAAUGUAGCCAGAAAGUUCUUCCAAGCCAACUUGUAAAAAUUACAAAACUAACUUACUUGAAAACAUACUUGUAUUUUGUCUGCAUAUUUUGGGUUCAUAUAUAGUUGCAGAAUAUGCAUCUUGAUGCAUAUUUUUGGUUCAUAUACACAUGCGAGGAGCGACGACGCGCAUCUACCUCCUCCGCUCCGCCCCUCCCGCUCUGCUUCCCGUGCCGUCUCGCCCCUCAUCGCCGCCCGUCUUCUUCUCCAUCGCCGUCUACGCGCUUGAGGAGGGAGGAGGAGCCGCAGCGCUUGGAUCCAGGGGCGGCGGCGUCCAUCCCGUGUGAGAAGGGAGAAGGAUCCGGUGAUAUCUACUCACAGCUCUCUCUCUCUCUCUCAGCGCGUCUUGCGGAGAUUCCUCGGUGGAGCUGCUCCACCAAGACGGUCGCUCCGCUUUGGGACUUGGGAGCACUUAUGCCCUAAAGUGAAGUGUUACCUUAAACCCUAAACCCUAAACCCUAAAGAUAAGAAAGCACAGUAUUAGUUGAUGAAUGUUCCACAUGCUCACGAACAUGCAAUUUUGGUUAUUUUUUGGUGCUGAACUGCUGUUUGUGGUUUUGAUCUCACAAUGAAACCCGGAAGCUGAAGCUCUCUGUUGCUGCUGUUUGUGGACUUGGCAUGGUUGGACUUGCAGUAAGUUCUCCGAUUUGUUACCAAUGAUUGAAAGUGACCUGUCUCUUGUUGUGGAACCUGAUUCUAAUUUGAUACUACUGUAUUGUAUAUUCAGUAUGCCAUUUCAGUGCAUUUUAUACAGAGAUUUUUGUUUAAUAUAAUUUGUGAGAUUUGUGUUUAAUAUAAAGGGCAUGAGAUUUGUAAUCAAUGCAUGUCAUGUUGGCUUCAAUUUACUAACGGGCUAAAUCUAAAGGCUGUACCUCUUUCCCAGCUGUGUCCCAAAAACUCUUAACCACCACAGCAACUAUAAUCGCAGUUAGUGAGACAUACCACAGUUGUACCACAGUUUCACCACCACAGCAGCUAUAAUCGCAAUUAGUGAGACAUACCACAGUAGUACCAUAGUCCAAUGUUCUUACUGUCGGAGGGUACCAUCUUGAAAGUUUUUGGCCAUAGCUGGGAAAGAGGUACAGCCUCUAGCUGGGAAACAAGCCCUUAAUUAAGCAUAACAUGCCUGCCCCAAAAUGCAUCACACUUCAAAACCACACACAGAGGUGUCCGCUAAAUCAUGGAUACCUUUUUUCUUUCUUCUGUAUUUAUUUUAGCAUCAACAAGAUAUUAGCAAAUCACAUACCUCAUAACUACCUAGACCAUGUUUUUCAUCACAAUGCCUAUUGCCACAGAUAAGACGGAAAACAUAUAUAUUUACAUAUACUUAUACCUGCUCACACACAUGCAACCACAUCUAACCAUGCCAACCUACUAACAAGUCACAUCAGUAACAUUAUAUUUUUGAUAUUCAUUUUUCUUUUACUAACAUUUUCUUAAAGUUCUUAUUAUAAAACCUCUAAUUAGCCUAGGCUACAACUACAACAUAUAUCUCUGUUGACCCAAAAAUUCUGAGAAAAUUACAGAAGCUAAGUGACACUCUCUGGAGUCUACCACAAAAUUUGUAUCCUAUUAUGAACAGUACACUGCCCUACACAAAAAUGACAAGCUGCAAGGCAGAAAAUCAACCUAAAAUACUUUGUACUAUGAAAUUCAUCAGAUUACAGAUUUCAUAUUUUUCCUACCUACAUCCUAGUAUGACAACAGCACACAAAAAUUUGUAUGGUCAUAUCUGCAGUAUUUAUUGUUUUAUGAUUUUCCAAAGGAAACUGCAGUUUUCAUUUUUGAGCCAUAAACCCAUUUUAUUACAUACAACAUGCAUGCAAAAACUUUAUCACAGUACAUCUCACAAGGAAUCUAACAAGCCAUUAACCAUAUAUUUUUCUGAUUUACCAAUUAUUUACUGUGAUUUAAUAAAGGAAAACACAGUUUUUUAUUUAAAUCUAAGCUCUAUAUAAAAGUAUCUGGAAAUCAACAUUCAACAUUUUUAGACCAUAGAUCUAGUCAUAAGAAGCAUUACAAAAUUUACUUCACAAUUUUUGGAGCUCUAGAACUCCAGAUAUAAAUUUAUCAAGCAUUUGCACAAAAGAAAACAGAUAAAAGAAAACUAUAAACGAAAAACAACUUGCAAGCAGGCCCUUGGAAAACCUCACAGAUCUGCCCCUAAGAACACUAUUGCACUGAGUCACUGGCCUCUCACUUACCCCCCUCACCUUCCUCGGAUUCAAGCGCGCAGGCCCUCGACCUCACUGGAAAAGAGGGAGAAAGGAGAAGAGGUGGCCGGCGAUGCGGUCGGCCGGUCUCCGGCGAAAAGGAGGUGGGAAACGUUCGAUUGAGUGGUCAGAGAGCUGCUCUGGUGAACGGCGGGUCGAUUGGUGGCGGUGAUUUGAGCUGGGGUGGUCUGUGGAUGGCUGGUCGCGAGCUCCGGCGGACGGUGGCGCGCGGGAACGGCGGCGAGGGUGCUCCGGUGAGCGGCUCGGUGCGGGGAAAGGUUCAAUCGAACCGGGGAGGUGGUGUGGAGCUGGUGGUGGUGUUGGUUUGAGGCAGAGAGGGCUCAGUUGGUGGGGCCGCGAGCUUGCCGACGGCGGCAAUGGCGGUGCUCCGCGGAUCCGCCCUAUGUGCGCGAGAGAGCGAGGGAGAGGAAGAGAGUGGACGGGGCGAGUGCGGAGUGAGGCGAGGCGUGCUCCACUUCGGUCAGACAACAGGCGCAGACGUAGAAUGGAGCAACGACGGCCGACGUGCGCACGGCGCAUGCUCGCCACGCCGACUGGCAAGGCCACGCGUCGAGCACCGUGGUGAUGUGACUGGCACCCACUUCAAAUGGGAAAAGCUGUGUGCUACGGUGGUUUUCAUGCAAAACGAUAUAAAACAAAGUUGUAGCUCGUGCAUUCCCAUGGUUCCGCUAGGCGCUAGGCGGAUUCUAGGCGCUGACCCUCAGCCUAGCGCCUAGGCGGGAUUAAUCGCGCCUAGGCGUUGCUAGGCGUUUUGCUAGGCGUUCUAUAUCCAUUCAUAUUUUACCUACAAAAGUCUAUUAGAAAAGAAAAAACAGGACACAUGUGGGCCAAAUAUUACAUAAAAAGCCCAUAAAACAGCCCAAGCCCAAUUUGUACAGCAACCUUAUCUACCUCAUCCAACCCUAUCCCUUCCAUCCCGACCGCGCCGGUCGCGGACCUCGUCCCAGCCUCCUCCGCGCCGUCGCUGCCCCCGUUCCCGCCGCCUCCGCGCCGUUCGCCACCUCCGCCGCCCCCGUCCCCACCUCCUUCGCUCCGGUCGCCACCUCCGCCGCCCCCUUCCCCGCCUCCUCCGCGCCGGUCGCCACCUCCGCCGCCCCCGUCCCCGCCUCCUCCGCGCCGGUCGCCACCUCCGCCGCCCCUGUCCCUGCUUCUCCGCACCAGUCGCCACCUCCGCUCGCCUAGAUGGGCGACUACCCCCCAUAGGCGAGGUGACGGGCUUCGCCCAGCGCGUAGUCGCGCCUAAUCGCCGGCUAAUCGACGCCUAGCAGAACAGGGUGCAUUCCUCUACCACUUUGAUUAAGCACUUUCUGUCAAUUGCUCACUGGUUUGGAAGUUAAUUAACCCUUAAUUAACCACUAUCAGUGAGCUAAUCACCGAGCAAAGUUGAUGUCAAAACCUUGUCAAAAUACUUCGGAUUGAGCCCAAAAUUUGACAUGGCGUUCCUCAUAGGAUUAUUAACAACUUUUACAUUUGGAGUUUCUCGAGUUGUUACACAAAAAUCUGAGAACAUGUCAUGUCAAGCAAUAGGUACAUGAAAAACAGGUUUUGAAAAUAUUCUAAGUGCUGAAAAACAUUUCAAAACUGCAUUCAAACUACUUUUUGAGCACUUUCCACACAUUUUCAUGACUUGGCCCAAAACUAACUUUUGUUCUACAUGAAAUUAUCUACAACUUUUAUUUUGGGCCCACAGCCAUGCAAAAACUGUAGCUAGAGUUUCCUGUUUGGUCAAACAAAACAUGUUUUAUGGACUUAUUUAGUCAACCAUUAUUUAGGGGCUUAAUUUGGUGAAAUGUCCUACAUGAACAUUGCUCCAAAUGAGACCCUAAGUGACCCUAGACAUGUUUAGGGGUUAACUAAUACUUUUAUCAACAUUUUACAUUAUGGUCUAAAGUGUAUUAAGCAUAAUUAAGUGCUUUACUUAGCAAAUUUCACAUUUUAACAUGUAAGCUCACAUGUGAUAAAGAUACCACACUAUCAUGUCAUGCUUUCUAGGGCAUCCUAGGUUAGUUUAGCAAACAUGUAUCACUCAUUUAUAAACAAGGCAUCAUGAUCAAAGCUCUAGGUCUUAUAAAACACUCACAUUUAAACAAGACAUGGCAUAUACAUGAAAUAUCAAGCACUUAGGUUUUUGAUGUGCAUGUCAUGGAUGCAUAAGAUGAUGCUUAGGUAUGAAAUGCAUGUGCUUAGAUGCUUAACACCUAGGGGUGUUACAGCCCUCCCCCACUUAUAGGAAUCUCGUCCCGAAAUUUAGGGUUACUAACCAUUGUUUGUAAAAGUCGGGGUAAACCUCACGUAGGUAGUUUUCAGUCUCCCAGGUUGCACCUCACUGUAAAUUCGCUGGUUAAAUUAAUCUUUGUAAUAAGUUCAGUAUACUCCAGUGUUGGCCACUUCAUUCGCGUCCAGUGUUGGCCUCCAUGUGUUAGUGUUGAUGGCUAGAACUUGUAGAAAAUUUUCCAGGUUCUGAAUGAUGUUGGCUUUGCAUCUGUUAGCCGGCAGCAGCAACUUGUUUUUGUAUUAUGAGUAUGACUUUAGUUCAGCGCCAAUAACAACAGAAAUUUGACAAGUUCAGAGACCAACUCUGCUAUUUCAAUUCAGUUGUGGAUGAACCAGAUUAUUCUGAAUGUGGACAUAGAUGCAACUGGAAACUUUGUAUGUAUUUGUGAUUUGUUAUUGGAAAAUCUGGCAAUCGUAAAUGUAUUCAGCCUCGGAAUGUUGUCAUAGAAUUUUAAUAUGUUUCAUGACUUAGUGAUGGAUCUAUAUAUAUGCCUGUCGUGAUGGAUCUGUUUAUAUGCGUGAUCGUGAUUGAAAUUUAUAUGCUGUUAUAACCUGUAUAAAUAAAAAUCAACAGCUGUUUUUUUUUCCACGGAAAAGCAUUAAUUUCGUCGGCCAAAGGAACCGACGAAAAUAACUUACACGUGGACUAUUUUCGUCGGCCCCAGCAGCCGACGAAUUUAUACAUGGACACGUGGCCUGGCCCACCGUCCUCAAUAAGUUUGUCGGCCUGUUCCAGCCGACGAAUUUAAUUACAAUAAGUUCGUCGGGUUAUGUUGGCCGACGAAUUUAGUUGCCGAUGGCAGUUAAAUUCGUCGGGGAAUUCAGGCCGCAAAUUAACUCUAAUUUCGUCGGUCCCGACGAACUUAACACCUUAAUUUCGUCGAUGACCUUAAUUAUGGGGAAACUAUUAGAGAUGCACACAUUUAUCUGCCAUCAGACCCCACAGAACUGAUGUAUUUGCUUGGGCAAUGUAGUACAGAAGACUUCAACUUAGCAUCAUGCCAAUGUGCUAUACUUUCUAUACUGUAUGCCUGUUCAUUCUACAAUGAAAGGCUGGCUGCUGACAACCAAAUUCUGGCUUCUGUUGAGCAAUACAUCCUCCUCAAUAGUGGAAGCUUCCCAUACGAAAUUAAUUUUUCUGUUAUGUUUACGCUUCUGGUCCACCUUUAUGCCUAUGUCAGGGGCAUUUCCUAUAGCUGCAGCAUUCCACAGUCCAGAAGCCGAGAAUACUCUAUUCCACGUAAUGACACAAAAGGAUUGGGAUUUGCUUGCUAUCCGAGUCCAUCCAAUAGCAAUAAAAUGGCUCUUCCAGAAGCAAGAACUCAUGGAACCACUCGCCUUCCAUAUGCUAAACUUUUGUAAAACUUUCUGUGAAGAUGAAACUAUCAUGCUCUCAAACAGCAGUCAGUUGGUGGACAUACAAAUGGUUGCAGAGCUGGUACUUUCUGGAGAAACCGUCAUCUCAUUUUUGCUUGUGUCCUUGCUAAACCAGAUAGUAAAGGAGGGUACUGAAGAUGAGGUCUUUUCGGUGGUCCGUGUUAUAGCCGAAAUCAUCACCAUCUCUCCUUGUACAUCUGAUCAGUUUAUAUCAUGUGACAUUGUCAAUUCAUUCCAUGUCAUAUAUUGCUUACCAUACUGUUCAAGGAUCCAAACAGCUUGUUCCCAUUUGAUCUUUAACAUCUUAUGUUCAGCAAGUGCAUUGACAUUUGCUCAGGAAAAUGAAUGGCUUCCUCUUACUGUGAAGGUACUCUUGUUAUGUUGAUAUGAGUUGAACCAUGCAAGUCAUGACUCAUAGCGUAGUUUUAAUCAAUUUAAACAAUAUUAUUUGUUGGUUAUUAAAAGUUUCAUGGGAUGACUAUGAUUUAUGCCCUCGGUAUUCCAUGCCAUGAUUUAUGCCUUCUCAUGCACUUCGGUCCACCUUCUGUUAAACUUAUUGCUUCACAAUGUCUGUUGGAGUUGCUAAUGAGAAUUUCAGAUCAAAGAACAUGUACUAAUGCUGAAUUAAGGUGCUCUGUGAGGUAUCUGAAGUCCAUUAUUGCAGUAACUGAGGGUUUGGUCUUCAGUGAAGACAGUAAAGUUGCUGGAAAUUGCGGUGCUUGUCUCUCUGUAAUUUUAGGUUGGGAGAAAUUUGGAAGCCAAGAGAAGGUGGCAGCCAGAGAAUCCAAAUGGUUUCGAUUAAUAAUGUUGGAAUUUGCUGUUGCCUUGACUGCUCCUGGUUUGACGUCCAAAUCUUUCACCAAUCAGCAGGAGUUUGCAGCGAAUCUAGCUGUUUCGUUGCUCAGGCUGAGCCAAGUACCAGAUUGGCUAACAUCGCUGUUUGAUAGCCAUCUGAUAUCUGGUAUUGUGGCUAAUCUUUCUGCUAGGAAUGUUACUGCAGAAAUUGUCACUCUUCAGUGAGCUCAUGGCUAGGAAAUAUCUGAGCCAAGAGCACAUUGUUGCUCUACAUAAAUUGUUCCAGGUGUGCAGAAGGCAGGUCUAUGAGGGAAGCUCCAAGGCGCAAAUGUUUGGGCAAAGUGUUAAAAAGGUUGCAAGGAGCAUCGAUGACAUGCUCGCAUUGCUCUUUGGCCUGAUGCUGAACCAGAACACAGACUGGUGCAGUUCAAUCAGAGCAGCAAACGCUCCUGCGUGCGAUUGAUCUGUUCUUCCAGCAGUCAAGCGGGAGAGAGCAGCGUUAACAUAAACACCAACCAGCUAGUACAGAUGUUGUUGAGAAAAGCUGAUUCUUCUUCCUCCACGUUUUCUGAACCAAGUAGAUGAUAUUCCAAACGGGACAGCCGGACAUCAGUCCCUGUUCCUGAGAGGCUCCUCGAUUUUCCUGCACUAGAGGAGAAGCUUAGUAAGUUGUGUAUAUACUGAAGUUUUGGCGCAGGAGAGGAAUGUACAUGUGAUGUGAAUCGAUAGGAUUGCAAUCAUCCUUCUGGCCUGAAAUAGUAACAGCUAUUAACUCGAAUCUGUAGCUGUAUUCUUUGUUACACGCAUGCGAGGACUGUAUUGCCACGGCCGCUGAAGUAUUAACUGAUGAAGAUUCUUGUUAACGGCCUUUUUAAUUUGAAGUUACUGCUGAAA